GAUGAACGCUGGCGGCGUGCCUAAUACAUGCAAGUCGAGCGAACGGACGAGAAGCUUGCUUCUCUGAUGUUAGCGGCGGACGGGUGAGUAACACGUGGAUAACCUACCUAUAUUACUGGGAUAACUUCGGGAAACCGGAUCUAAUACCGGCUAAUACUUUGAACCGCAUGGUGCAAAAGUGAAAGACGGUCUGGCUGUCACUUAUAGAUGGAUCCGCGCUGCAUUAGCUAGUUGGUAAGGUAACGGCUUACCAAGGCAACGAUGCAUAGCCGACCUGAGAGGGUGAUCGGCCACACUGGAACUGAGACACGGUCCAGACUCCUACGGGAGGCAGCAGUAGGGAAUCUUCCGCAAUGGGCGCAAGCCUGACGGAGCAACGCCGCGUGAGUGAUGAAGGUCUUCGGAUCGUAAAACUCUGUUAUUAGGGAAGAACAUCUGUGUAAGUAACUGUGCACAUCUUGACGGUACCUAAUCAGAAAGCCACGGCUAACUACGUG
rnacentral:rRNA from 1 species